UACGAAGGGGGCUAGCGUUGUUCGGAAUUACUGGGCGUAAAGGGCGCGUAGGCGGCCGUUUAAGUUAGGUGUGAAAGUCCUGGGCUCAACCUGGGGACUGCACUUAAUACUGGAUGGCUUGAAUUCGGGAGAGGAUAGCGGAAUUCCCAGUGUAGAGGUGAAAUUCGUAGAUAUUCGGAAGAACACCAGUGGCGAAGGCGGCUCACUGGACAGGUAUUGACGCUGAGGUGCGAAAGCGUGGGGAGCAAACAGGAUUAGAUACCCCAGUAGU
rnacentral:rRNA from 1 species